CCUACGGGGGGCUGCAGUGAGGAAUAUUGGUCAAUGGACGAGAGUCUGAACCAGCCAAGUAGCGUGAAGGAUGACUGCCCUAUGGGUUGUAAACUUCUUUUAUAUGGGAAUAAAAUGUUCCACGUGUGGGAUUUUGUAUGUACCAUAUGAAUAAGGAUCGGCUAACUCCGUGCCAGCAGCCGCGGUAAUACGGAGGAUCCGAGCGUUAUCCGGAUUUAUUGGGUUUAAAGGGAGCGUAGGUGGAUUGUUAAGUCAGUUGUGAAAGUUUGCGGCUCAACCGUAAAAUUGCAGUUGAAACUGGCAGUCUUGAGUACAGUAGAGGUGGGCGGAAUUCGUGGUGUAGCGGUGAAAUGCUUAGAUAUCACGAAGAACUACGAUUGCGAAGGCAGUUCACUGGACUGCAACUGACACUGAGGCUCGAAAGUGUGGGUAUCAAACAGGAUUAGAUACCCUAGUAGUC
rnacentral:rRNA from 1 species